rnacentral:rRNA from 1 species
CCUUCGGGUGGCUGCAGUGAGGAAUAUUGGUCAAUGGGCGCGAGCCUGAACCAGCCAAGUCGCGUGAGGGAAGACGGUCCUAUGGAUUGUAAACUUCUUUUGUCGGGGAGCAAAAGACGCCACGCGUGGCGUUCUGAGAGUACCCGAAGAAAAAGCAUCGGCUAACUCCGUGCCAGCAGCCGCGGUAAUACGGGGGAUGCGAGCGUUAUCCGGAUUUAUUGGGGUUAAAGGGUGGGCAGGCGGAAGGUCAAGUCAGCGGUAAAAUUGAGCGGCUCAACCUCUGCGAGCCGUUGAAACUGGUUAUCUUGAGUGAGUGAGAAGUAUGCGGAAUUCGUGGUGUAGCGGUGAAAUGCAUAGAUAUCACGAAGAACACCAGUUGCGAAGGCAGCAUACCGGCGCUCAACUGACGCUCAGGCGCGAAAGUGUGGGUAGCGAACAGGAUUAGAUACCCCAGUAGUC